UUUUGGUGAGGUGCCUUCCGAGUUCCCUGGAACGGGACGCCAUAGAGGGUGAGAGCCCCGUCUGGUUGGACGCCGAACCUCUGUAAAGCUCCUUCGACGAGUCGAGUAGUUUGGGAAUGCUGCUCUAAAUGGGAGGUAUAUGUCUUCUAAAGCUAAAUACCGGCCAGAGACCGAUAGCGCACAAGUAGAGUGAUCGAAAGAUGAAAAGAACUUUGAAAAGAGAGUUAAACAGUACGUGAAAUUGUUGAAAGGGAAGCGCUUGUGACCAGACUUGGGCUUGGUUGAUCAUCCGGGGUUCUCCCCGGUGCACUCUUCCGGCUCAGGCCAGCAUCAGUUCGCCCUGGGGGAUAAAGGCAUCGGGAACGUGGCUCUCUCCGGGGAGUGUUAUAGCCCGUUGCGUAAUACCCUGUGG
rnacentral:rRNA from 2 species